GAGCGGUAACAGGUCCAGCUUGCUGGAUGCUGACGAGCGGCGGACGGGUGAGUAAUGCAUAGGAAUUUACCCGGUAGUGGGGGAUAACCUGGGGAAACCCAGGCUAAUACCGCAUACGUCCUACGGGAGAAAGGGGGCUUCGGCUCCCGCUAUUGGAUGAGCCUAUGUCGGAUUAGCUGGUUGGUGAGGUAAUGGCUCACCAAGGCGACGAUCCGUAGCUGGUCUGAGAGGAUGAUCAGCCACAUCGGGACUGAGACACGGCCCGAACUCCUACGGGAGGCAGCAGUGGGGAAUAUUGGACAAUGGGGGCAACCCUGAUCCAGCCAUGCCGCGUGUGUGAAGAAGGCCCUCGGGUUGUAAAGCACUUUCAGCGAGGAAGAACGCCUGUCGGUUAAUACCCGGCAGGAGAGACAUCACUCGCAGAAGAAGCACCGGCUAACUCCGUGCCAGCAGCCGCGGUAAUACGGAGGGUGCAAGCGUUAAUCGGAAUUACUGGGCGUAAAGCGCGCGUAGGUGGCUUGAUAAGCCGGUUGUGAAAGCCCCGGGCUCAACCUGGGAACGGCAUCCGGAACUAUGAGGCUAGAGUGCAGGAGAGGAAGGUAGAAUUCCCGGUGUAGCGGUGAAAUGCGUAGAGAUCGGGAGGAAUACCAGUGGCGAAGGCGGCCUUCUGGACUGACACUGACACUGAGGUGCGAAAGCGUGGGUAGCAAACAGGAUUAGAUACCCUGGUAGUCCACGCCGUAAACGAUGUCGACCAGCCGUUGGGUGCCUAGCGCACUUUGUGGCGAAGUUAACGCGAU
rnacentral:rRNA from 1 species